rnacentral:rRNA from 1 species
UACAGGAGGUCCCGAGCGUUGUUCGGAUUCACUGGGCGUAAAGGGUGCGCAGGUGGCUUGGCAAGUUUGAUGUGAAAGCUCAGGGCUUAACCCUGGAAAUGGCAUUGAAUACUGUUGAGCUGGAGGUUUGGAGGGGGACUGGAAUUCUUGGUGUAGCAGUGAAAUGCGUAGAUAUCAAGAGGAACACCAGUGGCGAAGGCGAGUCCCUGGACAACACCUGACACUGAGGCACGAAAGCCUAGGGGAGCAAACAGG